rnacentral:tRNA from 1 species
GCCAAGGUAGCUCAGUUGGUAGAGCAGGGGACUGAAAAUCCCCGUGUCGGCGGUUCAAUUCCGUCCCUUGGCACCA